GACGAACGCUGGCGGCGUGCUUAACACAUGCAAGUCGAACGGAAAGGCCCUGCUUUUGUUGGUUGCUCGAGUGGCGAACGGGUGAGUAACACGUGAGUAACCUGCCCUUGACUUUGGGAUAACUUCAGGAAACUGGGGCUAAUACCGGAUAGGAGCUCCUGCUGCAUGGUGGGGGUUGGAAAGUUUCGGCGGUUGUGGCUCGACUCGCGGCUUAUCAGCUUGUUGGUCGGGUAGUGGCUUACCAAGGGUUCGACGGGUAGCCCGCCUGAGAGGGGAGCCGGGCACAAGGGGACUGAGGGAGGGCGCAGAAGCGAACGGGAAGCAAGGGGCGAGAGUAUGACGGAGUAGGGCGGAGCCAGAUGCGACGACGUCGGGAGCGGGAUGACGGCCUUCGGGUGGUAAACCGAUGUCGAAGGAGACGAAGAGUGAGUGACGGUAAUGGGUAAAGAAGCAACGGCUAACUACGUG
rnacentral:rRNA from 1 species